rnacentral:rRNA from 1 species
AACGAACGCUGGCGGCAUGCCUAACACAUGCAAGUCGAACGAGACCUUCGGGUCUAGUGGCGCACGGGUGCGUAACGCGUGGGAACCUGCCCUUAGGUUCGGAAUAACUCCCCGAAAGGGGUGCUAAUACCGGAUAAUGUCUUCGGACCAAAGAUUUAUCGCCUUUGGAUGGGCCCGCGUUGGAUUAGCUAGUUGGUAGGGUAAAAGCCUACCAAGGCGACGAUCCAUAGCUGGUCUGAGAGGAUGAUCAGCCACACUGGGACUGAGACACGGCCCAGACUCCUACGGGAGGCAGCAGUGGGGAAUAUUGGACAAUGGGCGAAAGCCUGAUCCAGCAGUGCCGCGUGAGUGAUGAAGGCCUUAGGGUUGUAAAGCUCUUUUACCCGGGAUGAUAAUGACAGUACCGGGAGAAUAAGCUCCGGCUAACUCCAUG